rnacentral:rRNA from 1 species
ACGAACGCUGGCGGCUGCUUAACACAUGCAAGUCGAACGGAGUGGCGAACGGGUGAGUAACGCGUGAGCAACCUGCCUAUGACAGUGGGAUAGCCUCGGGAAACCGGGAUUAAUACCUCAUAGUCAUAGAUGGGCUCGCGUCUGAUUAGCUAGUUGGUGAGAUAACAGCCCACCAAGGCGACGACCAGUAGCCGGUCUGAGAGGAUGAAAGGCCACAGUGGAACUGAGCCACGGGCAUAACGACUACGGGAGGCAGCAGUGGAGAAUAUUGCACAAUGGGGGAAACCCUGAUGCAGCGACGACGCGUGAACGAAGAAGGUAUUCGUAUCGUAAAGUUCUGUCCUAUGGGAAGCAGUACCAAAGAAGAAAGCUCCGGCUAAAUACGUGCCAGCAGCCGCGGUAAUAC